rnacentral:rRNA from 1 species
CUUGGUCAUUUAGAGGAAGUAAAAGUCGUAACAAGGUUUCCGUAGGUGAACCUGCGGAAGGAUCAUUAUCACGUAUCCACGUAUCAACCAUUGUGAACUGUGCCCACCUCUAAACUUUGGUGAUGAUGGAGUUGGUGUGUUCUCAUACCAUCACUAUCCGCUCCCAAUUUUUAGAGUGUAUUUUUCAUUUUCUUUUAUUAACCACUUGAACCAAAUCUCUUUUAAGAUUUUUGAACUGAUAAAGUAGGAAACUGAAAAGUUUUUACUACUAAUUUACGAAAACACUGUACAACUCUUAGCAACGGAUAUCUUGGCUCUCGUAACGAUGAAGAACGCAGCGAAAUGCGAUACGUAAUGCGAAUUGCAGAAUUCAGUGAAUCAUCAAAUCUUUGAACGCAAAUUGCGCUUUCUGGAUAGGCCAGAGAGCAUGCUUCUUUGAGUAUCGUUUCUACCAAAAUCAGCAUUUCUGCUGGAGAAUGAGUGUCUCGCUGCAUUAAUUUGCAAGUGAGUCGCUUGAAAUAGAGCAAAUUGAUGUGAUCAAUACUGGUUAUUGUUUCUCGAUAUUCCAGUGAUGUUGGAUAAUAUUUUCUUUAUCUAAACAUUACAUAUUGGUGUAUCACUUACGGGAAAUGAUAUGCUACGUAUGAUUUGCAAUUCGAUUUGAAAUAGAAAACCUAGAGAGAGAGAGAGAGAGUUCGCUCGCUCUCCACUCUUUUGAAUUUGAUCUCAAAUGAAGCAAGACUACCCGCUGAACUUAAGCAUAUUAUUAAGCGGAGGAAAAGAAACUAACAAGGAUGCCCUCAGUAACGGCGAGUGAAGCGGGCAAAGCUCAACCUGAAAAUCGGGUUCCCAAACGGGAUCUCGAAUUGUGGGCUACAGAUGCAUGAUCAGUGUGUGACCCGGGUAUAAGUGUGCUUUGGAAUUACUCAUCACAGAGGGUGACAAUCCCGUCCGUGACCCGGAGUUUUCGCCGCGUACGAUCUGCAUUCAUAGAGUCGCGUUGUUUGGGAUUGCAGCGCUAAAUGGGUGGUAAAUUUCAUCUAAAGCUAAAUAUCGACGAGAGACCGAUAGCGAACAAGUACCGUGAGGGAAAGAUGAAAAGAACUUUGAAAAGAGAGUUAAAAAGUACUUGAAAUUGCUAAGAGGGAAGCACUGGAAACCAGUCAUUUUGGGCCGGCUACACCUCAAUAUUCACUCCUGGAUCAGUUAACCGCGUCGUGAGCCUAAAACCACGUGUGGUAUACUGUGAAAAUGUUGGAUAUGUAUGUGUGAUUGGCUUUGGUCAGAAUCAAUUUGAUCCGUGAGAGAAAGCUAUCGCAACGGUAGGAAUUGUUGGGGCAACUCAACGGUUCUGAUUAGUGCGGUAGUGCUAUCGUGGGUUGGAUUGAGGGACAAUCGAAAUGCGCACCACUAGGUUUGUGGCCUCCUGUCCCUGGUGGCUCAAGAGACGUGUACAACAAAGUUGUGCUGUUUCUGAAGGCUACUACUGGUAUGGAAUGGUCAACAGCAGCAUUCGAGAUUCUGACGAAAUGGUUUUCAUUGACCCGUCUUGAAACACGGACC